AGACAAAGGGGAGUGAGUGCAUUAGGUUUUAUUGGUCUGUUUGGCACACAUCUGACAUCAUUCUUUGAAGCAAGUUCUGUUCAGCCCUGGGAGGAUGAUAAAGAGACAAGAGGGAGAGAGAGCAGAGAGGCAGAUACGCUCGCUCGCUCGCACGCGCUCCAUCCGGUCCUCCGAGUGGAGGCAUAAUGGCCGGAGACAUUGGAGCAAACUGUCGGACAGAUGGGGCCUGCCCUGUUCCGAAGGGGAGGCUCCGGCUGCAAAGAGAGUCUUCAGUUCAUCCUGAGGGUACAUUGGACUUCAUCAUGCAGAAGCCUUAAACAGACUCUCCAGCUGGCUUGUAGGAGUGUGAACUGCCUGGGAGGAGGGCCACGUGGCCAAAGCAGCCCCCGGCUGACGGCCAGCGGGACAACCGGGACUUCGGUCCUACCACUGUGUGGACCCAAAUUCUGCCAACAGCCAUGAGAUCUUGGAAGACAGCCCUGAGCUCCAGAAAGGAGCGCAGCCCAGCUGACGCCUUGGCGGAAGCCUUGGGAGACCCUGAGCGGAGGACCCAGGAAGCCGUGCCCAGACUCCUGAUUCGCAGAAACUGGGGGAUCCUACAUGACUGUUGUGGAAAGCUGCUUGAUUUGUGGUCAUUUGUUACACAGCAGGAGGUGACUAACAUACCCUUGGAGGGAGAGUGACUGGGAGCGGGGAGGAGGGGCUUUCUGGGAUGCUGGGAAUAGUCUAUGUCUGGAUUUGGGGGGGUAUUAAAUAGUAAAAAUUCACCAAGCUUCACACUUAAGCUUUGUGCAACUCACUGUACGUAUCUUAUGCCUAAAUUUAAAAGAAUUUUAAUUAAAAAAAAAUUCCAGUGGCC
rnacentral:lncRNA from 1 species